rnacentral:rRNA from 1 species
GAUGAACGCUGGCGGCGUGCCUAAUACAUGCAAGUCGAGCGAACAGAUGAGGAGCUUGCUCCUCUGACGUUAGCGGCGGACGGGUGAGUAACACGUGGAUAACCUACCUAUAAGACUGGGAUAACUUCGGGAAACCGGAGCUAAUACCGGAUAAUAUAUUGAACCGCAUGGUUCAAUAGUGAAAGACGGUUUUGCUGUCACUUAUAGAUGGAUCCGCGCCGCAUUAGCUAGUUGGUAAGGUAACGGCUUACCAAGGCAACGAUGCGUAGCCGACCUGAGAGGGUGAUCGCCCACACUGGAACUGAGACACGGUCCAGGCUCCUACGGGAGGCAGCAGUAGGGAAUCUUCCGCAAUGGGCGAAAGCCUGACGGAGCAACGCCGCGUGAGUGAUGAAGGUCUUCGGAUCGUAAAACUCUGUUAUUAGGGAAGAACAAAUGUGUAAGUAACUAUGCACGUCUUGACGGUACCUAAUCAGAAAGCCACGGCUAACUACGUG